rnacentral:tRNA from 1 species
AUUUAUAUAGUUUAAAAAAAACAUUACAUUUUCACUGUAAAAAUAAUAUUUCUGUAUUUAUAAAUA